GGGCUUCUGUCGUGAGUGGAACACAUGGGGCAGCUUGAUUGCUCUACAUGUGGAAUUGACAACAAAAGAUUUUAGAAGCAUAAUUUUUUGGUACCUGGGCAGCUAGUGAUCAUUGGUCCUGGUGCCUGU